rnacentral:rRNA from 1 species
GAUGAACGCUGGCGGCGUGCUUAAUACAUGCAAGUCGAACGGAGGUAUGUAGCAAUACGUGCCUUAGUGGCGAACGGGUGAGUAACACGUUGGUGACCUACCCCAGAGAGGGGGAUAACAGCUCGAAAGGGCUGCUAAUACCCCAUGCCGUCAUGGCGCUUAGAAAGCCAUGUCGAAAGGUGCAAACCGCUCUGGGAGGGGCCUGCGUCCCAUCAGCUAGUUGGUAGGGUAAUGGCCUACCAAGGCGAUGACGGGUAGGGGACCUGAGAGGGUGGCCCCCCACAAUGGAACGUAGAACAACGGUCCAUACACCUACGGGAGGCAG